rnacentral:rRNA from 1 species
UACGUAGGGGGCAAGCGUUGUCCGGAUUUAUUGGGCGUAAAGCGCACGCAGGCGGUCUCUUAAGUUUUGAGUGACAGGUGGUGGCUCAACUACCACAGGCCUUGGAAAACUGGGAGACUUGAGGACUUCAGAGGGAUGCGGAAUUCCAGGUGGAGCGGUGAAAUGCGUAGAGAUCAUUUGGAACGCCAAUGGUGAAAACAGGUAGCUGGGGCUGUGCUGACGCUGAGACACGAAAGCCAGGGGAGCGAACGGG